CUCGGUGACGUACCCCUCGGUCGGGGAUAGCGGCGGGAAACUGCCGGUAAUACCCGAUAAUCUGUCCAAGUCUUACGGCAGGGACAGCAAAGGUGAGAUUCCGUCGGGGGAGCGGCUGAGGUCGUAUUAGCUGGUUGGUGAGGUAACGGCUCACCAAGGCGAUGAUGCGUAGGGGGUGUGAGAGCAUGGCCCCCACCACUGGCACUGAGACACUGGCCAGACACCUACGGGUGGCUGCAGUCGAGAAUCUUCGGCAAUGGGCGCAAGCCUGACCGAGCGACGCCGCGUGCGGGAUGAAGGUCUUCGGAUUGUAAACCGCUGUCGGAGGGGAUGAAGUGCAUGGGGGUACUCCCCUGUGUUUGACAGAGCCUCGGAGGAAGCACGGGCUAAGUUCGUGCCAGCAGCCGCGGUAAUACGAACUGUGCGAACGUUAUUCGGAAUCACUGGGCUUAAAGGGUGCGUAGGCGGCGGCUCCAGUCAGGUGUGAAAUCCCCCGGCUCAACCGGGGAACAGCGCUUGAAACUAGGUCGCUC
rnacentral:rRNA from 1 species